rnacentral:miRNA from 1 species
CCAUUGGCAUCUGGUGCUGUGGUUCCUGGACGAAACAGGGGCUGGUGGGGCGUAGACCUAUAUAGAACUGCUUCUGCUGUCACAGUGAAGUCUGC